AGCAUCUCGACCCAUCGGCCUCCGUCCCUAACAUUUGAGGGUUGAGACGUUGCUAGCUAGCUAGCUACUCAUGACCAGUAGUUACCGUGGCCACACUGCUGCCUUGCGUCACCAAGCACAUAUAAGGUGGGAGAAAGAAAGAGAGGGAGCAGGGUCCAGUGGCGUCGAGCGAGCUGCUAGCGUAUAGUAGGCAGAAAAGGAGCGAGGGGCGUCGCUAGCUAGGAGGAAGGAGGAGGAGGAGGAGGAGGAGAGGAAUGGAGGAGGUGGCGGAGCUGGGGCACCUGCUGGUGUUCGCCUUCCUCUUCUGCUUCGCCGCCUACAUGGUCGGGCCGGUGAUCACCGACGUCACCAUGGGGGCGCUCUGCCCCGGCCGCGACGAGUGCUCCCUCGCCAUCUACCUCACCGGGCUCCAGCAAGCUGUUACGGGCCUGGGCGCGCUGGUGCUGACGCCGGUCGUCGGCAACCUGUCGGACAGGUACGGCCGGAAGGCGCUGCUGGCGCUCCCGGCGACGGCGUCCAUCGUCCCCCUGGGCAUCCUGGCGUACGGCCGGACCAGGGGCUACUUCUACGCGUACUACAUCACCGAGACCCUGACGGCGACGGUCUGCGAGGGCAGCAUGAUGUGCCUCUCCCUUGCUUACGUGGCUGACAGGGUACCGGAGGCGCGGCGCGCGGCGGCGUUCGGCGUGUUCACCGGCGUCUGCAGCGCCGGCUUCGUUGCCAGCACCAUAGCAGCCCGCUUCCUCCCCGUCUCGUCAACGUGCCAGGUCGCCGCAGUGGCAGCGGUGGCGACGGCCGUGUACAUGAAGGCCUUCCUCCAGGAGACGGACGGCGGAGCCUCCUCGUGCAGCUGCGACGAGGAGGCCUCCCGGCCGCUCUGCAUUCCCUCCUCCAGCAGUGAGGAGCUGUCGCCGAAGCUCCCGCCUCUUCGCAAAGCACCAUCGCUGUCGGAGAUAGCCGCCCUUCUUACCAGCAGCUCAACCUUCUCGAGAGCCGCAGUCGUCACAUUUUUCCAUGGCCUUGGCGACGCAGGCCAGCUAAACACACUAUUGUAUUUUCUGAAGGCGAAAUUCCAUUAUAGCAAGAACCAGUAUGCCAAUUUGCUACUUAUUAUUGGCAUUACAGGAAGCUUCUCACAGCUAACUGUGAUGCCACUUCUAGUGCCAAAGCUAGGUGAACAGAAGCUACUUAUCAUAGCACUUACAGCGAGCUGUGGGCACGCAUUCCUAUACAGCAUCGCAUGGUCGUUCUGGGUCCCUUAUCUUGCUGCAAGUUGUGUAAUAUUAAGCAUGCUGGUCACCCCAUGUAUAAGGAGCAUCAUAUCAAAGAAAGUGGGACCUUUUGAGCAGGGAAUGGUCCAAGGGUGUAUCACUGGAAUAAGCUCAACUGCAAAUGUGAUAUCUCCUCUAAUUUUUACUCCACUCACAGCGGGGGAGACCCCCACUGUGGUAUUAUAUAUUAUAUACGAAAGAGAAGAAACUGUAAGAAGCAAAGCUCCCAGGGACACCAAGUGCCCAAAAGGGAGAGAAAACUCAAAAGAACAACUAAAGAAAAGAACUAAAUUUGCACAAGGUUGAUCCAGUUAAGGAACUCCUGUCUAUUGCUAUCCUUGAUCCUAUGAGCUUGGAGCCUUGCUUCAUCGACAAAGUCUGCUGUCCAAUUUCUCAUUGACGGCCUUCUCCCUUCAAAAAUAGCACUGUUUCUUUGUUUCCUACUCGUGAGCUUGGCCAAGUAUUUCUAGACAUAAUUUGUCUCCCUUUGGCCUGACAGCCUGGUGUCUAUCAGAAGCUACGCCUUUCUACUUAAAAGGUUUCAGCCUUGCCUGUGCCGGAUUUGCAACGCUGGUAGCGCUUGCAACAAGCAUAAGUAUGAGGCCAGCUGAAGUACAGCGGCCAGAUAGGAAAUAGAUGAGCCAAAGACCGCUCUGGAAGAAAAAAAUCGUGGAUAUAUGCAUGUACUGUACAUAGUUUCUACAUGUGUACCAUUAAUCUUCUAUCAUCUACUAACCACUGUCAAUAGCCAUUGUGAAGUUUUAUGUAGUUAGCAUUACAUAUAAUUUGCACGCUACUCCACUGUUAGUUGAUUAACAUGGACAGCGGGUACUGAUGUAAAACGUCAGAAAAACUUCAGAUGUUUGAGUACAUACAUACUUGUAACAGACUUUCCUAAAUUGUUGCCUCAUUGAGAAUGUAAGGCUCAAUGCUUGACUCCUGAGUAAUGCUGUUA